rnacentral:misc_RNA from 1 species
GGAAUAAAAGUCGUAACAAGGUCUCCGUAGGUGAACCUGCGGAGGGAUCAUUACAGAGUUCAUGUCCUACCGGGUAGAUCUCCCACCCUAUGUUAUUAUUACUUUGUUGCUUUGGCGGGCCGUUAGGCUCCGGCCCGACUACCGGCCCCGGCUGGUAAGCGCCCGCCAGAGGACCCAAAACCCUGAAUAUUAGUGUCGUCUGAGUACUAUAUAAUAGUUAAAACUUUCAACAACGGAUCUCUUGGUUCUG